rnacentral:tRNA from 1 species
GGGGUUGUGGCUCAGUGGUAGAGCGCUUGCCUAGCAUGUGCGAGGCCCUGGGUUCAAUCCUCAGCACCA